AGGCGAAAACCCAGGUGCAGCCGUCAAUAUCAUUUUUCACCAUGUAGCAAAACAACUCCAUAUUCGGGUAAACGUAGACACGGAUCUACGGUCCUAUAACGUCUAGCUGUCUAUCUAUAUGUUGCAUGCGUGCCCAGCCCCUGCAGAGGAAUGCAGGAGUUUCCAAGCUCCAGAUGGUGAGCUUGUUACUGUUUUGCAAAAACAAGGCUCCAUCUUGGCUACAAAACCAACUCCAGAUGCAGGUAAGCCACUGACUAACGCACAUUGUGCUGCUCCCAUAAUGCCACUGUGCGUGUGACAGCGGCUAACCAGCCUUUCGGAACGCAACUGACCGCUUUGCCACAUCUACCCCAGUGGCACCACUGAGAAACAGCUUGUGGAAACGGCAAGAAAGUAAGUGGUCACGAACAGCCGAUGGUGCCUUCUGCCUCUCUUUAGGGUGAAUAUCUAAAGUACUCUUGGGUAGACUGAUGCAUUGGCAUACCGGGGUUUAAAAUGUUAAUCAUAGGCCAUGUUUUGUAAAUUAUUUAAUUUUGUUUUCACUUGUACUGUCUUUUUCAAAUAUGAAAAUAAAAUGUACUGAGAGCAA